CCACUCCACACUGCAAAAAUCCUGAAGUCAUUGGACUGUGUCAGAGGACACCAGCAUUUAGCAUAGCUGCUUGGCUGCCCGGCACUGCUUUCUUGCAGACCUUUCUAAACUAAAGGCAGCUCUUCUCCCUCUGAAGCACUAAUUUUGGCUACUGCCAGAAACUGCAUGCUGGUUUUAAGAGACUGACUGCAUCACAGCUUACAUUAAUUUGAGUUCACAGUAUGAACUCAAGUAUGAACGGACAAUUAUUCAAAACACACAUCAUAGUGGAUUCAACUGGACCUGCAAUAGUAAUAAAGGCAAUCCUAUGAAAAAAGCUGA